rnacentral:misc_RNA from 1 species
GUUUCCUUGUACGAAUUGCUGCACCUCUCAUCACCUUAAGUGAUCUGCUAACUUUCAUUUUCACCUCUCUCUGACACAUUUCUGCAAUCCGCUUGGCAUCAGUCAAUUGCCUCCUGUGGAAAUUGAUAAAUAUCUUAUGAUGUUUUGGGAUUUCUUUCCUUGCAAGGUUUAUCCAACAUUUUCCAAUCCUUUCCAUUUCUUCCUUCUCAAUCGCAAAAGGAUCUUUCUCCAACUUUGGCUUUUUGGGUAGACUACGU